rnacentral:rRNA from 1 species
AAUGAACGCUGGCGGGGUGCCUAACACAUGCAAGUCGAGCGAACAGACGAGGAGCUCGUUCUUUUGCAGUUAGCGAAGGACGGGUGAGUAACACGUGGAUAACCUUCUUAUAAGACUGGGUUAACAUCGGGAGAACAGAGACAGUAAUGGAUAAUAUAUUGUACGGGUUGGUUCAAUAGUGAUUGAUAGUUUUGUCGUUACUGAUAGACGGAGUCGGGUUGCAUUAGUUAGUGGGUAAGGUAACGGCAUACCAACGCAACGAAGCGUAGCCGAGCUGAGGGGCUGAUCGGCCACACUGGAACUGACACUCGGUCCAGACUCCUACGGGAGGCAGCAGUGGGGAAUAUUGCACAAUGGGCGAAAGCCUGACGCAGCAAUGCCGCGUGAGUGAUGAAGGCCUUCGGCUCGUAAAGCUCUGUUGUUAGGGAAGAACAGAUGUGCACUAAUAUAUCGAUGUCAUGACGGUACCUAAUGACAAAGCCCCGGCUAACUACGUG